AACCUAGCACACCUGCGGUGUGUACCUGCGGAAGGAUCAUUACACAAUACAAUAUGAGGGCUGUCCGCAGCUGGAGUAUUUUAUUACCCUUGUCUUUUGCGCACUUGUUGUUUCCUGGGCGGGUUCGCUCGCCACCAGGACCACCAAAUAAACCUUUUUUAUGCAGUUGCAAUCAGCGUCAGUACAAACAAUGUAAAUCAUUUACAACUUUCAACAAUGGAUCUCAGAUCGGAAGAGCAC
rnacentral:misc_RNA from 1 species